GCUAGGUUGGCCGAGCGGUCUAAGGCGCCAGGUUUAAGUUCUGGUACAUUAAGUGCGUGGGUUCGAAUCCCACACCUAGCA